rnacentral:rRNA from 1 species
AUUGAACGCUGGCGGCAUGCCUUACACAUGCAAGUCGAACGGCAGCACGGGAGCAAUCCUGGUGGCGAGUGGCGAACGGGUGAGUAAUAUAUCGGAACGUGCCCAGUCUGGGGGAUAACGUAGCGAAAGCUACGCUAAUACCGCAUACGAUCUACGGAUGAAAGCGGGGGAUCGCAAGACCUCGCGCGAUUGGAGCGGCCGAUAUCAGAUUAGGUAGUUGGUGAGGUAAAGGCUCACCAAGCCGACGAUCUGUAGCUGGUCUGAGAGGACGACCAGCCACACUGGGACUGAGACACGGCCCAGACUCCUACGGGAGGCAGCAGUGGGGAUUUUGGACCAAUGGGCGCAAGCCCUGAUCCAGCAAUGCCGCGUGCAGGAUGAAGGCC